rnacentral:tRNA from 1 species
GGCUCGGUAGCUUAGUUGGUAAAGCACUUGUCCAGCGAAAAAGGGUAGUGAGUUCAAAUCUCACCUGAGCUG